GUACCCGGCGGGUGCCCUCAGCGCGGGCAGGGCCUGCCGGCUACGGGCGGUGCCCUCAGGAGGGCACGGCCGCCGCCCCAGGACGGUGACGGCGUUCGGAGCCCCGGCGAUGAGGAGGGGAUCUCGUCCCGCUCCAGCCCGAGCCUGGCGGGAUCCCCGAGGGAGGAGGCUGGAAUCAGAACAUGGGUCUGGAUCCGGAUUUGGCAGCCCGAGCCCACCUCUCCAACACAGCAGUGAGAUACAGCCAAAUCCCGACCGAAUAAGCAGCACCAGGAGUAAGUUACUAUAUACAACUGUUAGUGAGAUAGAUACGGUACAGUAAACACUGAGAACAUUUACAAAAAAAUAUUAAGACUUGUAUUAAGAUAAAAAUUGGAGUGUUUUUGCUUUGUUUACACUUUGACGAGUUUGCACUAGAACAGCCUCUCACUGUAGAAAGCGCAAGAACCAGGAAGGAAAUGGAGCCGCUCACGAAACCUUGGGGACAGUGUGGUUUGCUCUGGUGCUGCAGCACCUCUCGGGAUCCAGGUAUUGCUAUGCCAGGUACCAGCUCCGAGGCCAUGGCAGGGAACACGUGGGGCUCCUGCACUCACACACGCACACACACAGAGAAAUGUACAGCUUAUAAAUAACAGAAACACAAACUGAAGGACAGAACUGAGCCUGGGCCUGAACACCUGCCCCCAGACCUUUUUAGGGGAGAGUCAUGGUUAGGUCCAGUUGUUGACAGUUGCAGAAAAAGGAAAUAGGGAAAAACAGGGGGGAAUCUACUGUAACAAGACUUCAUCCUGAUUUAAAUUUCUUUUUGUACUGGCUCUGGAAACUAAGCAUCAGCUCCAGAAGGUGUUUGCACUGGAACUUUUAAGAUUUUAAUAACUGGCUGUGGAAGGAUUUUAGCAUUCCUGCUAUUUCAGCAGAGCAAUGUGUUCAGUAAUUUGCAAGUUUGAGGGCAACCAGGAGUUUGUGACAGAUCAGGGUGGGGAGGGAGCAGUGCCUUGGCUUGUGGUUGAGGAGAAGAUUAAGAUGUACUGUGCUUAGCUUCAGCACUAAACAAUUGGCUUGUGGGUGUUUCUUUUUCCAGCUCUUAUGGAGAGCACUGACUGCAUCCCAAAAUUACUUCCAUGUAUGAAUGGAAACGUCGCUGGUGGGGCGCCCGCCCCAUGCCCUGUUAGCGUUUCCAUUCCUCUAUGUCACUUCUGUCUUGAAAAACUCCAGUCUCUCGCAACACAAAUACUUAGAAUUCAAAACAAUCAGCUCUAAACAGGCAUCUUAGGGCAAAAGCAUUUAAAAUAGUCUUUUUUGCAGGGUUCUUAUGUAUUUGA
rnacentral:lncRNA from 1 species